AUGGACCAUGGUCAAUAGUUGAUAUCAUUCAACAAUCAUCGAAGUCAAAUACUCGAGUCAUUAUUCCGGCGGUUAACACCUCCGACGCGCCUGCCGUUUCAACGCUCCGAGUUUGUUUUGUAUUGAUCUGUCUCUUUACUUCAUUCGUACACUUGUUUGGUUCUUUCGAUUCCCAGCUCUCAACCACUUUACGGACGUUUACGACUCCCGAGAGUAGCUGUACGCACAACGAAAACGUCCGCCGACAGCCAUGGCUUUCAACUUCCCGGCGUGCACCUACAUCGUGGCCAUGAUAACCGACGCUUUUCUGUUGUUUUUCUCUGUGUUUCACGUUAUUGCGUUUGAUGAACUGAAAAAUGACAGCAAGAAUCCUAUAGAUCAAUGCAACAGUUUAAAUCCAUUAGUGAUUCCAGAAUAUAUUUUACAUUUUUUCUCCAAUUUGCUGUUUUUGUUUGGAGGCCAGUGGUUAUCCAUUGCUAUAAAUGUUCCAUUAAUGGCUUAUCAUAUUUCAAAGUAUAGAAAUAGACCAGCUAUGUCUGGCUUUGGUCUCUAUGAUCCAACAAGUAUUAUGAAUGCUGAUAAACUAAAUAAAUAUCAACGUGAAGGUUGGAUAAAAUUGGCAUUUUAUUUGUUCUCAUUUUUUUACUACUUAUAUGGAAUGAUAAGAGCAUUAAUCACAGUUUAAAUCUAAGAUGCUCGGAAGUCUGAACAUUCAUCUUGUACAACUAUAAUAGCUUAAAAGUUCAAUAUAACUAUGGGCAGCUGGGACAACAAUCACCAGAUUGAAUAACCCCAACAUUUUUAAUUAUUUCAGUAAAUGUUUCUGGCAAUCUGGAAUAUUGGAACUAUGCGUAAAAUAAUUAACAAUUGUGUUAAAAAAAUGAUAAAUGAUACUUUUAUUUAAUAGAUUACUAAAAUUGUAAUACAUAAAUAAUAAUUGUAAGUACAACCUUACAAAGUUUUAAUUAACUUAUUAUAUCAUCAUAAAACAAAUUAUGUUUGAUAGAUAUGUAUACAUUCUUACACUUAAUAGGGGAGUAUUAUAUAAGGUGUCAGAGCAUAAACUCGUGACUGCAAGAAAUCAAAUGAAUAAUAAUAGCUUAUUAUGGACUUUGGUCAGCUGAUUUAAAUAGGUUAUUAAUUUCAUAAUAUCAAUACUACAAAAUGAUUAUGAUAAUAUUAUUUGUUAUUUUUUGUAUUUCUGGAGGUACAUAAAUAUAUAUACAUAAUUAAAAAUGUACAAAUUGUUAGACCUCAAAAUCUAUUUUUCAUCGUUUAAAUAGAUUGAUGAUUACAUUCAAAUUUGAUACUUCUAUAAUAGUACUCAAUGAAACUUGACUCCUGCUUUUAAAAUGAAUGGUUACCUACUUUCCACGUUUUUAUGAAUAAUUGUUUUAUAUUUAAUAAAUUAUAAUUUCAAAAUAAAUGUAUUUAUAAAAAAUAAAUUCUUAUACAAAUCUCUUUUUAAUUCUAGUUAUUAAAAAUGUAAACUGUAAACUCGCUAAAACUGAGUAAUAGUAAAACAGGAUAAUGUAAGUCACUACUUAUACCAUAUUUUGAUUAAUACAUUUGUAUAUAAUAUUAACUUAUUACCUAAUAAUAAGGAAUAAAUUGUUG